rnacentral:rRNA from 1 species
GAUGAACGCUGGCGGCGUGCUUAACACAUGCAAGUCGAGCGAGAAGUUUUGAAAAGAUUCUUCGGAUGAAAUUUAAAAUGGAAAGCGGCGGACGGGUGAGUAACGCGUAGGCAACCUGCCCCAUACAAAGGGAUAGCAUUUGGAAACGAAUAUUAAUACCUUAUGAAACUUAACUAGUGCAUGCUAGGUAGGUCAAAGAUUUAUCGGUAUGGGAUGGGCCUGCGUCUGAUUAGCUAGUUGGUGAGGUAACGGCUCACCAAGGCGACGAUCAGUAGCCGACUGGGGGGGGAGAACGGCCCAGUGGGAGAGGAGCACAGGCCAAACACCCAACGGGGGGAGAGAGGGGGGAAAUUUGAAAAAGGGGGGAAACCUUUAACCAAACCCGCCGGGGGAAGAAAGAGGGCCUUGGGGUGGGAAAUUUCCGUUUAAGGUGAAGAAAAAUGACAGUACCUAAGGAAAAAGCCCCGGCUAACUCCGUG